GAUGAACGCUGGCGGCGUGCCUAAUACAUGUAAGUCGAGCGAACAGACGAGGAGCUUGCUCCUCUGACGUUAGCGGCGGACGGGUGAGUAGCACGUGGAUAACCUACCUAUAAGACUGGGAUAACUUCGGGAAACCGGAGCUAAUACCGGAUAACAUGUUGAACCGCAUGGUUCAACAGUGAAAGACGGUCUUGCUGUCACUUAUAGAUGGAUCCGCGCCGCAUUAGCUAGUUGGUAAGGUAACGGCUUACCAAGGCAACGAUGCGUAGCCGACCUGAGAGGGUGAUCGGCCACACUGGAACUGAGACACGGUCCAGACUCCUACGGGAGGCAGCAGUAGGGAAUCUUCCGCAAUGGGCGAAAGCCUGACGGAGCAACGCCGCGUGAGUGAAGAAGGUCUUCGGAUCGUAAAACUCUGUUAUUAGGGAAGAACAAAUGUGUAAGUAACUAUGCACGUCUUGACGGUACCUAAUCAGAAAGCCACGGCUAACUACGUG
rnacentral:rRNA from 1 species